ensembl:lncRNA
GUUUAUUAGGGAGCGCCCCCAUGGGCAACACCUGUAGGUUGUGAAGGCACUAUGAUUGGGCAGAAGGAGGAGUUGGACUACGAGGCAUUUGCAACAAAAGCCUCAGUUGACCCCACUGGGAACUCUGGAGCAGGACAAAUCUUCGCAACUCCGUCUCUUGAGGUUUUUGGCUGCUUGCCUUCAAACUGCAAACUGGAAUACUUCAUCCUUUAAAAGCUUAAUAACCCGAAAACCCACCAGGAACCUAGAAUACCCGUAGUUCUCAGCCUAAAAGCUUGAGGAUGGAUAGAACAGAAAUCUAAUGUGCUUGACCUUCUCACCUCCUGCUUCUGGUCCGUGCCUCCCAUUACACCCACUCAAAGCCUCAGUGAGGCCCAAACCAUGGAAGACUUCUGCUGACAGAUGUCUCCAGAAUAGCUACUGUUCAUCUCACAGGCAAUUGAGCCCUCUAGGUCAGAGGUCCUCAAAGUGUGACUACAGUCCCCAUAAUGAGACUACCAGCAUCAGUAUCACCACCACCUGGGAACUUAUUAGAACUGAAAUUCUUGGGUCCCACUCCAGACCUCCUUAAUCAGAAACUCGGGGGGUAGAAUCCAGCAAUCUGUGUUUGAACAAGCCCUCCAGGUGAUCUGGAUGCUUGCUAAAGUUUGAGAACCACUGGUCUGGGUAAUUGAACCAACGGCAUUUGGCUGUAAUCCAUGGAGAAAUUUAUAGCACUAGGGCAAUCACUAACCUCAGUCUUGGGAAUUACGGGAGUUGGUAAACUCAUUUCAAAGGAACAAUAUUCACCUUUGAAGGUACUUGGAUGGCUGGCUGUGUGCAUUUGGAAAUAUACAGUGUUCUCCUCCCAUGGGGCUCAAGGAAGCUAAAGAAAAUCAGAGGAUUCUAAAUGCCAUUGUCCUCAUCCUAUCGCCUCCCUGCUUGCUCAGCUCCAACCCCACCUGUCUUUCUCACGUUGAACUAGCUUUAAGGAGAAGAGACACAAUUGCCAGCAGGUGAAAGGGAACAGAAAUCAUAACACACAGUGAAAUAGAGGAUCCCACUUGUCAGAAGCAGAUAAAGCCCACGCUCUGCUCUUCUUUGCCUGCUUUGUGCCCUGGGACACUGACCUCUAUAGACUGUGUCACUUGGGCUUCCUUGCCCCUGGCUUUCAGCUGAGUUUGACCAAUGGAAGUCGUUGUCAGAAAUUAGAAGACAGGAGGAGAUUGGGAUGUUUAUUUCCUCUAUUCCUUUACCGAUUGUCUGUAGUUGUAGGUGGAUGCACUCAAUUUUUAUAGGUCUUGUGUCAUCCCCCUCUGUGAGUGCUCUUUCAUGGCUCAACAUUUUCUAAAGAAGACUUCUGUGUAUAGCUCCCUCCUUUCCCUCCAAGGCCUCAGGAUGGUAAUGAGUUGUUCCAUUGCUGGCCUCUGGGUGCAUCAUCAUUUUUUGCGACUUAAUUAACCAUACCCAAAACUCUGUGAAAGUUAUCUUAACAUUAGAACCAUUUAGAACCAGUAUAUCAUUAAGGAUCCCAGAAGGAAACAGAUAGAAAAGUCAAAAGUUUAUCUAAACAGCUCCAAGAAAACAUAAAAGCCUCUUGAUUUGUUUAUUUUUAAGAUAUAGCAUGCAGUUUCUCAGGAAAGGAAGAUUACGCAGGUUCUCACUAAAAUACUUCCCUUCUGCAUGUAUAGAACACAAAUUUAUAAUUUAUAA